UCGGGAAUUUUGGGCAAUGGGCGCAAGCCUGAUCCAGCCAUGCCGCGUGAGUGAAGAAGGCCUUCGGGUUGUAAAGCUCUUUUACCAGGGACGAUAAUGACGGUACCUGGAGAAUAAGCCCCGGCAAACUUCGUGCCAGCAGCCGCGGUAAUACGAAGGGGGCUAGCGUUGUUCGGAAUUACUGGGCGUAAAGCGCACGUAGGCGGAUUGUUAAGUCAGAGGUGAAAUCCCGGAGCUCAACUUCGGAACUGCCUUUGAUACUGGCAAUCUAGAGUCCGGAAGAGGUUAGUGGAAUUCCCAGUGUAGAGGUGAAAUUCGUAGAUAUUGGGAAGAACACCAGUGGCGAAGGCGGCUAACUGGUCCGGUACUGACGCUGAGGUGCGAAAGCGUGGGGAGCAAACAGGAUUAGAUACCCAUGUAGUCCCUGAGCGGGCUGGCAAGGCGCAU
rnacentral:rRNA from 1 species